CCAAUCUCCCAUUUCCUUCAACACACAAGCUUCAUUCAGCCAAAUCCCCAAAAUAACGACAGCAACAACCAGCAGCAUACAACAUUGACAAUCAGCAACAUAUAAUUUCAACCAGCCAAAACCCAAAACCCAUCCAAAUCAAUCCGAUUCUCCUCUUUCUCGACCCAAAUUUGUCAACCUGCGACCGACCUGACCUCGACCCGUGGCUCACGCGCCCCACCAUGCAAAUCUGUGCAAGAAAAGCAAAGAAGUUUCUAAAAUUGGAUGAGUUGUCUCCCAACGGUUUGAUCCCGAGAUUUUUGGGUUAAUUUGUACGAAUUCAUACAGAGGUUGAUGAAUUUCAUUGGUCCAAGAGAUGAUUCCAUGAUCCCAUUUUGCUAUUGGCUAGCCGUUGUUGGAUUUUUCAUCGAGAACAGCAAAUUCGUAUAGAUUACGGAUGAAAACCAAAGGGGAGGCAGAGGGGAAUUUGAAAAUUUUCAAAAGUUCCUAUUUUAGAAUCCCUAAAAUAGCCAGAUUAGGUCUUCUAUAUAAGAAGCCAUUGGUUAUCUGUUUAGAAGGGAUAGGGGAUGGAGAAAGCUAGGUUGAAAAAUUAGGGUUUUGAAAAGAGGGGUUUUUCCUUUCUUUUGGGGUUCGAAAAUUGUCUGAGAAAGCUGGGAGGAAAAUUUCUUUGGGUGUUCAAACAUUUUUUCUGAGGAAAUUUUGGGGGUUGGAAAAAUUCUCGGAUAAGAAAAUUUGGUGUUUUCAGAAAAACUGAGAGUUGAAGGGUAGAGAAAAUUUUUUUGGUUCUGAAAGAUUGAUUCUAAAGAAGCUGCUAUGAGGUUUCUAUUUUCUCGGUGAUGGUUGGAAUCCUAUAUCAACUCGUCGUCCUAUUUUGCUGCCCCAGAAGAGGCUCAUCUGUUGAGUCAAGCCCGGAAGAGAGUCUAAGGUUGCACAGUGUACGAAUGCAAGGAGUCGAAAGAAGAAGAAUGGAUUAAGAUCCCAUUUUUGAAGCGGAGAAGAGACAAGAAAGUCUCUAUUUAUUUACUUAUUGAUUUAUUGUUGCCUUUAUUUGUUUAUUUAUUCAUUUUUUAGUUCAUUA